rnacentral:rRNA from 1 species
AGCGAACGUUAGCGGCGGGCUUAACACAUGCAAGUCGAGCGAGAAAGUGGCUUCGGCCAUCAGUAAAGCGGCGGACGGGUGAGUAACACGUAGGUAAUCUUCCCUUGAGCGGGGGACAACAAGCCGAAAGGCUUGCUAAUACCGCAUAAGUUCCAGAGAGCUUCGGUUCUUUGGAGGAAAGCUAGGUAGCAAUAUCCGGCACUCGAGGAGGAGCCUGCGUCGCAUCAGCUAGUUGGUAGGGUAACGGCCUACCAAGGCGAAGACGCGUAGCUGGUCUGAGAGGAUGAUCAGCCACACUGGGACUGAGACACGGCCCAGACUCCUACGGGAGGCAGCAGUGGGGAAUAUUGGACAAUGGGCGCAAGCCUGAUCCAGCCACGCCGCGUGAGUGAUGAAGGCCUUCGGGUCGUAAAGCUCUGUGGGGAGGGACGAACCGCCGGCGGUUAAUAUCCGCCGGCAUGACGGUACCUCCUUAGCAAGCACCGGCUAACUUCGUGCCAGCAGCAGCCGCGGUAA